rnacentral:tmRNA from 1 species
GGGGACGUUUUGGAUUAGACAGGAUGUUCUGGUUGAGGCAGAUUGCGAGUCCGUGCGCUGUUCACGGUUAUCAACGAGCAAAACAAAUUAAAUGCUAAAAAUAAUGUAAUCGAAGCAAACUUCGCUCCUGCAUAUGCAGUUGCAGCCUAGUUCUUUGACGAAUAGCUACUCAUAGAGCCCAGCUUGCCGGUUUUAUGGGUCAAUUAUGCAAGACGCAGUGCCGUAAUGAUGGUAGCGGCAUCAAGUUUACCAUUAAAGGUUUAGAGUUUCCUUCAAAUAAAACCUAGGGCUGAUUUAACGGUUAGGGUACUUUCCGGAAUCAGUUGAGCUGAUAAGAACCUACACUCGUAGAUAUUUGUUUUGAUCCAUUUUGGACAGGGGUUCAACUCCCCUCGUCUCCACCA